UGAAAGGAUUUCAAUGGGUUUAGGGCCUUUGCGGUUGUUUUGUAUAUAUUUAUUAGAGGUUUAAGCCUCCAUAUUCAAUUGUUUUAAUGAGUUAUGCUUUUGUGGGUUUUUGGCAUAAAUUUAUAAGUUUUGCUUUAAGUCAAACACUAGGGUUUGACCUUUUACAAAUUAAGGGUUUGGCUAUUGAUUUACCCUUUAAAUGGAGAUGUAAAAAGGAGAUUUAGAAAAAGAAAUAAGGGAGUUGUUGGUCACUGUAGUGGUUGAGUUCAUAUAUAAUCAUGAUCUUGUUAUUGAUAGGUAAAGAAAAAAGAUCAUCAUAGUUGAUAGAAGAAGAAGGAGAAGAAUAGAUGAACAUUAAUACUAAUUGGGAGGAUAAUAGUGUAAGUGGCCGAGUUCAUAUAUAAUCAUGAUCUUGUUAUUCAUAGAUAAAGAAAAAAGAUCAUCAUAGUUGAUAGAUAA
rnacentral:lncRNA from 1 species